rnacentral:lncRNA from 1 species
ACAUUGCCUCAUUUUUGUGAUGAAAUUGUAUAAGGUUAUAAUGAUAGUACUAUUUUUAUUGUAUUAAUUGUAUGACUAUCAAAUAUAGUAUCCAUUACACCAAAAUAUAAGUAAAGCGGACAAUUACCGCUACCCCUUUUGGGAUGAUAAAGUUUAUGUAUUUUUUUCAAGUUACUUGACUCUAUUAUUUUGUAAUUUUAUAUUAUAUUAAUAAUGAGUUAAACAUUUAGAUACUA